CAAUAGCAUAUAUUAACUUUGUUGCAGUUAAAAGGCUCGUAGUCGAAUGUAUGGCGUUCGGGGCCUGGCCGGUCGCCAAGUGCGGCGUGUGCGAGUGCCCGGGAGUCAUCCUGAUGGAGAGUGCGUCUGGCCUUGAUUGGUUGGGUCGUUGACAAUCCAUCUCGUUUACCGUGAGUAAAUCAAAGUGUUCAAAGCAAGCUGAGAAGCUUGAAUGUUCUAGCAUGGAAUAAUAAGAUAGGACUUGGGUUCUAUUUUGUUGGCUUUCGGAGCUCGAGUAAUGAUCGAUAGGGAUGGUCGGGGGUGCUCGUAUUUAACGGUCAGCGGUGAAAUGCGUAGACCCGUUAAAGACGAACGACUGCGAAAGCAUUCACCAAGGACAUCUUCUUUGA
rnacentral:rRNA from 1 species